rnacentral:rRNA from 1 species
CUGAACUUAAGCAUAUCAAUAAGCGGAGGAAAAGAAACCAACCGGGAUUGCCUCAGUAACGGCGAGUGAAGCGGCAAGAGCUCAAAUUUGAAAGCUGGCUCCUUCGGGGUCCGCAUUGUAAUUUGCAGAGGAUGCUUCGGGUGCAGCCCCCGUCUAAGUGCCCUGGAACGGGCCGUCAUAGAGGGUGAGAAUCCCGUAUGGGGCGGGGUGUCUGCGUCCGUGUGAAGCUCCUUCGACGAGUCGAGUUGUUUGGGAAUGCAGCUCUAAAUGGGUGGUAAAUUUCAUCUAAAGCUAAAUACUGGCCGGAGACCGAUAGCGCACAAGUAGAGUGAUCGAAAGAUGAAAAGCACUUUGAAAAGAGAGUUAAACAGCACGUGAAAUUGUUGAAAGGGAAGCGCUUGCAACCAGACUCGCUCGCGGGGUUCAGCCGGGCUUCGGCCCGGUGUACUUCCCCGCGGGCGGGCCAGCGUCGGUUUGGGCGGCCGGUCAAAGGCCUCCGGAAUGUAGCGCCCUUCGGGGCGCCUUAUAGCCGGGGGUGCAAUGCGGCCAGCCUGGACCGAGGAACGCGCUUCGGCACGGACGCUGGCAUAAUGGUUGUAAACGACCCGUCUUGAAACACGGACCAAGGAGUCUAACAUCUACGCGAG